CUUUCUCUUUUCACUUUGGCUCUGUUUCCUUCUUUGCUGAGGGUCCCUAUUUGUCAGAGCAGAAGGGAAUUGCAUCAGUCAGUCGUGAGUCAGACAAAACAAAAAUAAGUGGACAGCCCUCCUUGAGAAGGAAAAAGUAAUGGUGAGAAGAGACACAGGGAGAGACGGAGCCCAGCAGGGUAGGGACAGCAGGUGUGAACGUGUGUGUGCGCGUGCGCGCGUGCACAGGAAUGCCCACAGAUGCACUGAAUUAAGGAGUAAACAGAGAAAACCGUCCAGGAUAAGAAAAGGUGAUUGAAGUUGAUCAAGAAACUACUCCGGAGAGAGGAAGGAAGAAAGAGAAAGAGAAACACCGAUGUGAGAAAGAAACAUCUAUUGGGCCUUCACAUAAAUGAUCCAAGCGGGGACUGAAACUGCAACCUGGGUAUGUGCCUGACCAGGACUCAAACCUGCAAAAUUUCGGUCCACAGGACGAUGCUCCAACCAGC